GGCGAACGCUGGCGGCGUGCUUAACACAUGCAAGUCGAACGGAAAGACCCUGCUUUUGUGGGGUGCUCGAGUGGCGAACGGGUGAGUAACACGUGAGUAACCUGCCCUUGACUUUGGGAUAACUUCAGGAAACUGGGGCUAAUACCGGAUAGGAGCUCCUGCUGCAUGGUGGGGGUUGGAAAGUUUCGGCGGUUGGGGAUGGACUCGCGGCUUAUCAGCUUGUUGGUGGGGUAGUGGCUUACCAAGGCUUUGUCGGGUAGCCGGCCUGAGAGGGUGACCGGCCACAUUGGGACUGAGAUACGGCCCAGACUCCUACGGGAGGCAGCAGUGGGGAAUAUUGCACAAUGGGCGGAAGCCUGAUGCAGCAACGCCGCGUGCGGGAUGACGGCCUUCGGGUUGUAAACCGCUUUCGCCUGUGACGAAGCGUGAGUGACGGUAAUGGGUAAAGAAGCACCGGCUAACUACGUG
rnacentral:rRNA from 1 species